rnacentral:rRNA from 1 species
AAACUGGAGAGUUUGAUCCUGGCUCAGAACGAACGCUGGCGGCGUGCCUAACACAUGCAAGUCGUGCGAGAAAAGGAACUUCGGUUCCCAAGUAAAGCGGCGCAAGGGUGAGUAGCGCGUGGGUAAGCUACCUCCGAGAUCGGGACAACCUGGCGAAAGCCGGGCUAAUACCGAAUAAGCCCACGGGAGCUUCGGCUUCCGCGGGAAAAGGGUGCCCUCUCCAAGGAAGGUACCGCUCGAAGAUGUGCCCGCGUCCGAUUAGCUAGUUGGUGAGGUAACGGCUCACCAAGGCUGAGAUCGGUAGCUGGUCUGAGAGGACGAUCAGCCACACUGGGACUGAGACACGGCCCAGACUCCUACGGGAGGCAGCAGUGGGGAAUAUUGCGCAAUGGGGGAAACCCUGACG